UACGAAGGGGGCUAGCGUUGCUCGGAAUCACUGGGCGUAAAGGGUGCGUAGGCGGGUCUUUAAGUCAGGGGUGAAAUCCUGGAGCUCAACUCCAGAACUGCCUUUGAUACUGAAGAUCUUGAGUUCGGGAGAGGUGAGUGGAACUGCGAGUGUAGAGGUGAAAUUCGUAGAUAUUCGCAAGAACACCAGUGGCGAAGGCGGCUCACUGGCCCGAUACUGACGCUGAGGCUCGAAAGCGUGGGGAGCAAACAGG
rnacentral:rRNA from 1 species